rnacentral:rRNA from 1 species
GAAUUCCUGGUGUAGCGGUGGAAUGCGCAGAUAUCAGGAGGAACACCGAUGGCGAAGGCAGAUCUCUGGGCCGUAACUGACGCUGAGGAGCGAAAGCAUGGGGAGCGAACAGGAUUAGAUACCCUGGUAGUCCAUGCCGUAAACGUUGGGCGCUAGAUGUAGGGACCUUUCCACGGUUUCUGUGUCGUAGCUAACGCAUUAAGCGCCCCGCCUGGGGAGUACGGCCGCAAGGCUAAAACUCAAAGGAAUUGACGGGGGCCCGCACAAGCGGCGGAGCAUGCGGAUUAAUUCGAUGCAACGCGAAGAACCUUACCAAGGCUUGACAUACACCGGAAACGGCCAGAGAUGGUCGCCCCCUUGUGGUCGGUGUACAGGUGGUGCAUGGUUGUCGUCAGCUCGUGUCGUGAGAUGUUGGGUUAAGUCCCGCAACGAGCGCACCCCUCGUUCUAUGUUGCCAGCGGGUUAUGCCGGGGAC